AGGCCUGUGGAUAGGUAGGUUGACAUCACUUACUAUGGGGUGACAUCACCUCCCUUUUUUGACUUCCAAAGAGCCUUUCUGUGCACUUGUAGUCAAGGAGGUUUCCUUGACUUCGAGAAUGAGGAAUAUGUAGUCUUUUAUCUCUUAUCUGGGGAGGGCUCAGCUGUCUCCUGCUCCUGAUAUUUUGGAGUAUCUGUCCACAGAGGGGAACUCCAGCUGCUUAGCCUGGGGCUCAUCUAUCUCCUGCCUGAAGGUGUGUCUUAGGCCCCGCCCUCCCUGCAGAAUGCGCAUGCUGGACUCAGGUAGGCAGCACCUGGUGCGGGACAGGCUUCCUGGGGAGGUGUAUCACUGAUGUGAGGCAGUUUUCCAUCAGUGAUGCACACUUUAGAGUCAGUCAUUGCUCUCUCCUCUGUUAAAUGUUAGUACUUCUGAGACAGGUGACUCCACACUUCACUGCAAAUUUAUUUUCGGGAUCAUCUUUUUCUUUGUCCAGAAGGAUGGGCUAGACUUUUCCAGUGGUCUGGGGAUAUUGGCUAAAAUCCAAAGCCUAGAAUAAUAGACCCUCCCCCCUUGCCUCCUGCUCCCUACUCCCCACUUCUACAAAACACACACAUUUUAAAGAGAGAUGCUAGACCAUUCAUGAAGAAUUUGCUAAGAAGUAUCCAAGCUGGUUUGGCAACUUCUGGUCUUGGGACAUCACCCACCUCCAGCCUAGAUCUAAGAAAAUCUAAAGAUUGCUCAGAGAUCUGAGGAUUUCUUUAAUGAGAAAAACAUGCCACCUCAGGUGGCUUUAUUAAACUAUUUCUUGAAUAUGGCAUUCACUUCCAGAAUUUGUUGGGCCGUGGCUGGAAUGUUUCCUUGGGGUCCAAGGUGACCUGACUGAUACCCUGGGAGAUACCUAGACUCAUGGGUCUUGAAAGCUUCCCACCCAAGAUUUCCACCUGCUCAGGAAGGGAUACCCCAGUAAAAAACAUGCCUCUGUGGGCUGAACUUUGAAGCAGGAGCUAAGGGAUGUUUGUAGAAAGUUAGCUGGAGGGGGCAUCACCCACGUCUCCUGGGUCAGAGAACAGGGCAGUGCUGGGGAUCCCCAGCAAGGGGUCUUUAAGAACCCACCAAUGGCCCCCUUGAACAGUAGGGGAAAAGCCUGCCUGUAGACGAUUGGCAAAGAUAUGCCCUAAUUUCCAGAACCUGUGGUUAUAUUGCCUUAAUUACAAAAAGGACUUUGCAGAUGUGAUUAAGUUAAGGAUCUUGAAAUGGGAAAAUUAUCCUGAUUAGCCAGGCAGGCCCGAUACAGUCACAAGAGUCAUUUUAAGAGAAGGAUGAGGACAGAAGUCAGAGAGAAGAUGGUGCUGGCUUGGAAGAUGGUGGAGAGGGCCACACACCAAGAAAUGCAGGGAACGGCUUAGAGCAUUCUCUCCACCUGGGUUUUCUUGACCUAAGCAGAUGGGAUGGCUUCUGUCUGACUCACCCUAAGCCUGACCUACUUGUGAAAUGCUUUCUGUACAAAAAGCUGGAGGGCGGAGGCUGUGUCUGUCUCAUUUCACCCCAAUGCCUGACACAGUAAGCUGGCAACCCAUGCUUAUUGGAUCACUGAAAGAAACUGUUACACAGAGGAGGCACUGGUUAACUUUAUCAGGCCUGAAUCAGGGAGGGCUUUCUGGAGGAGGUGAUGACUGAAGGAAGAACAGAAGAUUGCUGGGUGUUCUAGGCAGUGGGGACAGAAAGUGCAAAGGCCCAGAGUGGUGGCAUCAGAUGGAAGGAUGGUGUUGUCGGGAUGCAGAAGAAAGAGCAGCCGGGGCAGGAUGUGCCCUUGGAAGGCCAGCAGGAAACCCAGCCCAAGGAGCAAGUCCACAUGCCAAAGCUGGUGGAGAGGAGAAAAGGCAAGAACUGGAAUCUCUGGUGACACUGGUGAUCUACUCUGACAGCCAUCUCUGGAAUCCACUCUUCCACCGAGCCUUCUCCUACGUGACGUAAUGAAUUGUAUUUGUUUUAGCCAGCUUGGAUUAGGUUUUCUGUUACUUUCUAUUAGAGUAACCAAGGGAGGAAAAUAUUUCAGCUGAGUCAUACUCCUCAGAAAUUCGUUAUUAAAAAAAAAAAAAAAAAAGAAUACUGUCUUUUGGCUUUGACAGUCUGGUGGUCACAGGGCAAAUUCAGUAGACAGAUGGGCAGAGGCUGACCAGAGGGUAAAAAGUAAGCGGCAGGUGUGGAAGUAAAGACUAUUAGCGUGGACAACCCCUUUUAGAAGCUUGGUUGAGAAAGGAUGGUGGAGAAACACCCUGUCAGAAGACCUGGAUUUCUAGUAAGUCAGGGACAGGCUAUGCUGCGAUCACAAACAAACAUCAAGCCUCAGCGGCUCAACACACACAAGUUCUGUAUUUUGUUUCUGUUCUUUCACGUGCCGUGUGAAGUCCUCUGGGGAUCAGCCAGCUGUCCAGCAGUGCCUCGGGGGUCUGUGUUGUUUCACCAUUAUGCUUAUACUGUCUUGGCAUGAGAACUCUGUGGGAACCGCUGCAGGUGAAGGGAGGGCUGAGGGGAUGUUCGGGGGCACUUUCUCUGCUUUAUCCUGCUAAUGACAUUUGUCACUUUUGUUCUCAGUCCACUGGACAGAAGUGGUCACAUGGCUGGUCUAGCUACAGGGGAGCUGGGGAAUUGGGGGGUAUACACGGAUAUGUGGUGAGCAUCAACUGUAUGUGCUGGAUUUCAACUUUCUGAGCUUUACUUUUUCCUCGGUGAAUAAACGAUCAUCCAACUCACACAGAAUUGUGAAAAUCAAACAAGGUAUGGAGGAACUCUUUUUUUUCUGUUGUCCUCCACAAUUCUCUUUUGUCCUGGUUUUUCCAUGCCUAUGUGAGCUGGGUGUUAAAAAUAAAUCCCACCUACUGAAUACCUACUACAGAACAUAGUAAUAGCUAGAAUUUAUUUAUUUUUAAGUUAAUUUUUGUUGGAGUAUAGUUGCUUUACAAUAUUGUGUUAGUUUCUGCUGUACAGCAAAGUGAAUCAGCUACGGAUGCACAUGUAUCCCCUCUUGUUUUGGAUUUCCUUCCCAUGUAGGUCACCACAGAGCAUUCUAGAGUUUAUUGAGUGCUUACCAUGAAUUCCAGACACUGUCCAUACAUCUGCUGCUGCUAAGUCGCUUCAGUCGUGUCUGACUCUCUGCGACUCCAUGGACUGCAGCCUACCAGGCUCCCCCGUCCCUGGGAUUCUCCAGGCAA